GAUGAACGCUGGCGGCGUGCCUAAUACAUGCAAGUCGAGCGAACGGACGAGAAGCUUGCUUCUCUGAUGUUAGCGGCGGACGGGUGAGUAACACGUGGAUAACCUACCUAUAAGACUGGGAUAACUUCGGGAAACCGUAGCUAAUACCGGAUAAUAUUUUGAACCGCAUGGUUCAAUAGUGAAAGACGGUCUUGCUGUCACUUAUAGAUGGAUCCGCGCUGCAUUAGCUAGUUGGUAAGGUAACGGCUUACCAAGGCAACGAUGCAUAGCCGACCUGAGAGGGUGAUCGGCCACACUGGAACUGAGACACGGUCCAGACUCCUACGGGAGGCAGCAGUAGGGAAUCUUCCGCAAUGGGCGAAAGCCUGACGGAGCAACGCCGCGUGAGUGAUGAAGGUCUUCGGAUCGUAAAACUCUGUUAUUAGGGAAGAACAUAUGUGUAAGUAACUGUGCACGUCUUGACGGUACCUAAUCAGAAAGCCACGGCUAACUACGUG
rnacentral:rRNA from 1 species